rnacentral:rRNA from 1 species
CCCUUAGAUGUUCUGGGCCGCACGCGCGCUACACUGACGGAGGCAGCGAGCAUGUCCUUCGCCGAGAGGUGUGGGGAAUCUUGUGAGUCUCCGUCGUGCUGGGGAUAGAUGGUUGCAAUUGUCGAUCUUGAACGAGGAAUUCCUAGUAAGCGCGAGUCAUCAGCUCGCGCUGAUUACGUCCCUGCCCUUUGUACACACCGCCCGUCGCUACUACCGAUUGGAUGGCUUAGCGAGAAUUUUGGAUCGGAGCCCGGGUGGUCGGCAACGGUCGCCCGGGAGAUCUGAGAAAUCAUUCCGGCUUGGUCAUCUAGAGGAAGUAAAAGUCGUAACA